AUUGAACGCUGGCGGCAUGCUUUACACAUGCAAGUCGAACGGCAGCGCGGGCUUCGGCCUGGCGGCGAGUGGCGAACGGGUGAGUAAUGCAUCGGAACGUGCCCAGUAGUGGGGGAUAGCCCGGCGAAAGCCGGAUUAAUACCGCAUACGACCUGAGGGUGAAAGCGGGGGACCGAAAGGCCUCGCGCUAUUGGAUCGGCCGAUGUCGGAUUAGCUAGUUGGUGGGGUAAAGGCUUACCAAGGCGACGAUCCGUAGCUGGUCUGAGAGGACGACCAGCCACACUGGAACUGAGACACGGCCCAGACUCCUACGGGAGGCAGCAGUGGGGAAUUUUGGACAAUGGGGGCAACCCUGAUCCAGCCAUGCCGCGUGCGGGAAGAAGGCCUUCGGGUUGUAAACCGCUUUUGUUCGGGAAGAAAUCCUCUGGGCUAAUACCCCGGGGGAUGACGGUACCGGAAGAAUAAGCACCGGCUAACUACGUG
rnacentral:rRNA from 1 species